CUCAGUUUCUUUGGCCUGCAUGGAUUAUGACCAAAGAGAUGUAAUUGCAAAAUACUUAUUGCGUGGUCAGCCAGAGAGAUUGGUGUGUAGUCCCAGAAAUCAGGCGGCACAAACACUCCAGGACGGUCUCUACAAUCAUACAAACACAAGGAUCAAUACAACAUCAUUAAUUAAUUACCUAGGCUAAAAUUUAAAUUAGAG